GGGGGCGUAGUUUAAUGGUAGAAUAACGGUCUCCAAAACCGUUGAUGGGAGUUCGAUUCUCUCCGCCCCUG
rnacentral:tRNA from 1 species